AAUGUUAGAUAGCUUGAGUAAAAAUAGAGAUGUCUCAUUACGUGCAAUGGCUAGUAACAUGUUGGGAAAGUUUAACAAAUAUUGAGAAAAUUUUGAUAAUAUCAAUUUACUGCUUUAUGUGGCUAUCAUAUUAGAUCCUUGAUACAAGGUACAAUGUGUGAAGUAUUGCUUUGACCAAUUGUAUGGUGCAAAUAGUUUUCUUGUUGAUGGCCAGC
rnacentral:lncRNA from 1 species